UACGAAGGGGGCUAGCGUUGUUCGGAAUCACUGGGCGUAAAGCGCACGCAGGCGGAUUGAUAAGUCAGGGGUGAAAUCCCGGAGCUCAACUUCGGAAUUGCCUUUGAUACUGUCUGUCUUCGAGUUCGGGAGAGGUUGGCGGAAUUCCUAGUGUAGAGGUGAAAUUCGUAGAUAUUAGGAAGAACACCAGUGGCGAAGGCGGCCAACUGGCCCGAUACUGACGCUCAUGUGCGAAAGCGUGGGGAGCAAACAGGGAAUUAGAAAACCCUU
rnacentral:rRNA from 1 species